UGACACUUCCAAGGCAACUGUUCCUAUGGGCCUUAUUGCAACCACACUUUGUCCAUGCCGGCAGGAGAGCACCAGGGACAUCCUUGUUUCCCACCGCGUGCCCAGUUACUCUGCAGCUGCCG